ensembl:lncRNA
CCACCUCUGCUGCUCUCCUUCCCUCCCUCGCAGUCUCUCUCUCUCACCCGACUGACUGACACGAAUUUUCAAUCUCUCUGUUUACCUUUCGCUGCUGUGCCUAAAACAACACUGGUACGGGCUAAGAGCAAGGAGGAGACUGAGGAGGGGGGGGGGGUGAAGCUGAGUAGAGAUGGGUUGGAGGAGGAAAAAGAGGGAGAGAGCCACUAAGAUUGGAUGGGAAAAGGAGGACGGGGUCGGGGGGGCGUGCAAGAAACGAAACGAAAGAGGUGCAAAGAGAGAGAGAGAGAGAGAGAGAGAGAACAGGGCUUUCUCUGUGUUUUGGUUGGAGGGGAAUCCAAUGGGGGAAAGAGACGAGAGGAGUGAGGGGUUAAGGGAAGGAGGAGAGGAGCUGAUGCUUUAACAGUCACGCAAACUGAGCCAGCAGAGGGAGAGGAGAGGGGAGGGGAAGCGGGGGGGGGCGUAAGUCAGAGUUGGAGUUAGUUGGGGCACAGAACAUUAGGAGUGCAAUGAGAUAUAGAGAGUGAGGGGGAGCGAGAGAUUUAUAGGGGUACAGAAGAGGACAGAGGACAGCAAGAGUGAUGCGUUGAGAGAAUUUUUUUUUUUUUUUUUUUUUUAAAGACUAGAGAGAUGGAGGCAGAGAGAGAGAGAGAGAGCUCAGAAUAGAUGCGCUCUCACCAACAUGAAAUAUUGAACGAAGGAGGCCGAACACAAGGAGGGGCGAGCAAAAUGGAGGGACUGAUAAAGACAAAUACAAUCAGGGUUUUGUGUGUGUGUGUGUGUGUGUGUGUGUGUGUGUGUGUGUGUGUGUGUGUGUGUGUGUGUGUGUGUGUGUUAUCUAGGAAACAGAUGAAGAUGAGAGAGAAGAGUGGAAGAGUAGGUGACAGGAAUAUGAAGAAUUGUUGCUCCUGGUUAGGUAUUACAGUGGCUAAGCUGAUCUGAGAUCAAUGUCUGGAGGCACCCUUCCACCCGCGAGGACGGCUCCUUGGAUCAUAUCUGGGAAAAUAGGUGAAAGAAUAAUGAAGGGAUU